AGAGUUAAACAGUGCGUGAAAUUGUUGAAAGGGAAACGUUUGACACCAGUCAUGUGGGUGGAAAAUCAGUGUUGUCUUGGGGAAAUCAAUCGAUUGGAGAGAUCUGAACGAUGCACUUUUUCCAGGACAGGUCAAUAUCAGUUUGUCGAUGAUGUAGAACACUUGGGGAAAGUAGCUGCUUGCAGUGUUAUAGCCCUAAGGAACGCGUCGUCACGGACUGAGGAUCGCAGAGUAGACCUCACGGUAGGAUUCCCAGGUCUUUGCUGGAAAGACUUUGGUGGACAGCUUGCUGACCAUCCGAGUUGGACUGGCAUUUAUCCGGUGAAUCACUUCUACUCUUAGGAUAUUGACCAAAUGGUUUUAAAUGACC
rnacentral:rRNA from 1 species